UACAGAGGUCUCAAGCGUUGUUCGGAUUCAUUGGGCGUAAAGGGUGCGUAGGUGGCGCCGUAAGUCAGGUGUGAAAUCUCGGGGCUCAACCCCGAAACUGCACUUGAUACUGCGGUGCUCGAGUACUGGAGAGGAGAUUGGAAUUUACGGUGUAGCAGUGAAAAUGCGUAGAGAUGUGGAGGAAUACCGAUGGCGAAGGCAGCCCCCCUGGGAUAACACUGACGCUCAUGCACGAAAGCGUGGGGGAGCAAACAGG
rnacentral:rRNA from 1 species